AAUGAACGUUGGCGGCGUGGAUUAGGCAUGCAAGUCGAGCGGAUAGGCCCGCAAGGGUACUCAAGCGGCGAAAGGGAGAGUAACACGUAGGUUACCUACCCUCCGACCCGGGAUAGCUGAGGGAAACUUCAGGUAAUACCGGAUAACGUCUCCGGACCAAAGGUGUGAUUCCGUCGGGGGAGGGGCCUGCGUCCUAUUAGCUUGUUGGGGAGGUAACGGCUCACCAAGGCAAAGAUGGGUACGGGGUGUGAGAGCAUGCCCCCGCUCAUUGGGACUGAGACACUGCCCAGACACCUACGGGUGGCUGCAGUCGAGGAUCUUCGGCAAUGGGCGCAAGCCUGACCGAGCGACGCCGCGUGCGGGAUGAAGGCCUUCGGGUUGUAAACCGCUGUCAGGGGGGAGGAAAUGCUACGGGGUUCUCCCCGUAGUUUGACCUAGCCUCAGAGGAAGUACGGGCUAAGUUCGUGCCAGCCGCCGCCGUAAGAC
rnacentral:rRNA from 1 species